rnacentral:rRNA from 1 species
GACGAACGCUGGCGGCGUGCUUAACACAUGCAAGUCGAGCGGUAAGGCCCUUUCGGGGGUACGACGAGCGGCGAACGGGUGAGUAACACGUGGGUGACCUGCCCUUAGCUCUGGGAUAAGCCUGGGAAACUGGGUCUAAUACCGGAUAUGACUCCAUAACGCAUGUUGGUGGGGUGGAAAGCCUUGUGCGGCUAGGGAUGGGCCCGCGGCCUAUCAGCUUGUUGGUGGGGUGAUGGCCUACCAAGGCGACGACGGGUAGCCGGCCUGAGAGGGCGACCGGCCACACUGGGACUGAGACACGGCCCAGACUCCUACGGGAGGCAGCAGUGGGGAAUCUUGCGCAAUGGGCGAAAGCCUGACGCAGCGACGCCGCGUGGGGA